UUAAUUCUUCUAGUUAAGCGGCUGCGCGUUUUUUUGGAACCGCGGCUGUUUUUCUUGUGAACUGGGGCCUGCUUUUGGAGUUUUACGCUUCUCUGGCGGUCCGUCGUUAAUGCUCUUGUGUUAAUUUUUUGUUUUUGCUUUUUUUAAGCUUAACCGCUUAAGAAAAAUAAUUACAAGA
rnacentral:misc_RNA from 1 species